UUCCUGGGCUGUGAUGCUGUCCCACUCCUCAGCUCUUUUGGCUGUCCAUGGCUCAUUAAUAGGGACCUUUAAGUACGCAAGAUCAUAUAGACACAGAUGUAAAUGAUAAAGGGUCAUUGAUGUGAGAGGAAGCUGAAGAGCCCAGAGAAAAUCAACAUGCCCAAGCAGUGGUUGUAUUGUAACUGACUGACAUAUGAAUCAGCUACCUGACGUGUUAGUAGUCGUCCGCCAACCCUGUCUCUGGCCUCCAGAACAACA